rnacentral:tRNA from 1 species
GAGAAAUUAGUUAAUCCAUAACACUACCUUGUCAAGGUAUAAUAAUGAGCUAAAACCUCAUAUUUCUUU